UUCACACCAUCCCAUCCUAUGUUGUAGUUUCCUUUUGUGGGUUCUUUACCUUUAUAUAUGAAAGUGUAAGAGAAAGGCCAUCCUCAUGCAGUUGUAGCAAUUUUGAUGGUUUUAAGAGCAGGAAGAUGAAGUGUUGCAGAGUCCAGAUCUUAGCUCUUGUGUCACUGAUGCUUCUAUUCCCAGCCGCCAUUGAUGGUUGGGGUAUUGAUGGGCAUUACAUAGUUUGCACAAUUGCUCAGUCACGCUUGAACAAGGCAGCAGCAGAGAUCGUGAAAGAGUUGCUUCCAAAAUCUGCAGAGAAUGACUUGGGAAGUGUGUGUUCAUGGGCGGAUGGGGUCAAGUUUAGGUAUCCCUGGUCAAGAUCCCUCCACUAUGUGAACACCCCUGAUGUUUGCAACUACAACUUCAAAAGGGAUUGCAAGGAUGAAAGUGAAGAGGAGGGUAGGUGCGUUGCAGGGGCAGUCAAAAAUUACACGCAGCAGUUGUUAACCAUUGACAGAAAUCGGCAGAACAACCUUACAGAGGCACUUCUAUUUUACUCCCAUUUUAUGGGAGACAUUCAUCAGCCUCUACACGCUGGUUUUGCUUCAGACAAGGGAGGGAAUACGAUUGAGGUCCAUUGGUAUACAAGAAAGCAAAAUCUUCACCAUAUAUGGGACAACAACAUAAUAGAGACAGCACAAGAAAGGUUCUACGAUUCAAAUAUCAAUGACAUGAUCGAUGCAAUUCAGACAAAUAUUACGACUGAAUGGGCAGAUCAAGUUAAGAGAUGGGAGAGCUGCAGUUAUACUGAUACAACAUGUGCAAACGUGUCAUCUUUCCCUUCAAUUACCCUCGUUUCGGCUUUCCCUGCCUAUUCCAUUGAUGCAACCUUAUCUUCAUUUGCACAAAUGGACACAUUGUUUUCUAUCCUUUAUUGCCACUUAUCCUAUCUCAACAUGUUCAUGAAACUGAUAUGCAUCUGAAGGCAUCAAAGCAGCCUGUGACUGGGCAUACAAAGGUGUGACUGAUGGUUCAGUUUUAGAAGAUGAAUAUUUCCUCUCCCGUUUACCAAUAGUCAACACGCGGCUGGCGCAAGCUGGAGUUCGGUUGGCAGCCAUUCUCAACCAUUAUUUCAAGUGAUAGUACUAGUUUCUUCUAUACUUCAUUGGAUUAUAUACAGCAUGGCUGAUGUUUUUAUACCACAGUAGUGGUCUGCCACUAUCGUCUAAACUAGGUUCUAGCCAUUGCUUCUAAAUGUAUAAAUUAUCAUUAUUCCAGUCAUCUAGCACUCUUUUUCCUUUGUAAAGCUGCUGAUCCACACAUUUAUAUUCACACUUGAUUAAAAGUAACUUUAAAGGCUGCUUUCUUAUA